GGCUAGUCCAACAGUAGUGAGUUAUUAGAACUUAUUGACAUCAGUGUCCCUAAAGUUGAUAUAUAACCCCCCACUAUUAAAUUUGAUGGGGAUUAA
rnacentral:Y_RNA from 1 species